ACCUGGAAGAGAAACAACACUCUCUCCCUUCGUCGCUACCGUUGAGUUCAUUGAUGUGCUUGAAAUUGUUUCUUCAUGGAUUUUGUCUAGAGGAUAAAGUAGUUAUCAUUUUGAGCUUGAAAUUAUGGAUGUUGAAAUGCUUGGACUUCACUGUUUUGGAAACCUGACAGUCUAGGUUAAAAUGUUGAGCUUCUCGAUUUUGCAUUAUGUAAGUGGUUGUCAAAGAGGUGGCUAUUUCAAAAUUUUCAAGUAAUUGACCAAUGGCGUAUUGACACUUAGUUCUGUAC
rnacentral:misc_RNA from 1 species